rnacentral:rRNA from 1 species
GAUGAACGCUGGCGGCGUGCCUAAUACAUGCAAGUCGAGCGAACAGACGAGGAGCUUGCUCCUCUGACGUUAGCGGCGGACGGGUGAGUAACACGUGGAUAACCUACCUAUAAGACUGGGAUAACUUCGGGAAACCGGAGCUAAUACCGGAUAAUAUAUUGAACCGCAUGGUUCAAUAGUGAAAGACGGUUUUGCUGUCACUUAUAGAUGGAUCCGCGCCGCAUUAGCUAGUUGGUAAGGUAACGGCUUACCAAGGCAACGAUGCGUAGCCGACCUGAGAGGGUGAUCGGCCACACUGGAAAUGAGCCACGGUCCAGACUCCGACGGGAGGCAGCAGUAGGGAAUCUUCCGCAAUGGGCGAAAGCCUGACGGAGCAACGCCGCGUGAGUGAUGAAGGUCUUCGGAUCGUAAAACUCUGUUAUUAGGGAAGAACAAAUGUGUAAGUAACUAUGCACGUCUUGACGGUACCUAAUCAGAAAGCCACGGCUAACUACGUG